rnacentral:rRNA from 1 species
UUUUGCGCAAUGGGGGAAACCUUUCGCAGCAACGCGCGUGAGUGAAGAAGGCCCUUGGGUCGUAAAGCUCUGUCAACUGGGAAGAAGUUGUUAUUGUUUAAUAAAUGAUAGCAUUGACGGUACCAGUGGAGGAAAG